rnacentral:rRNA from 1 species
AUGGCCGGCAGGCAGAGACGCCGCCGGGAAGCCGCAGCCUCGCGCGACGCACAGACCUCCGCCGUCAGAUGUGGCCGGAGUCACAUCGAAGGAUGGGGAGGGGAGCACCGCGGUCGCUGGGCUCCAACCACACCGCAAGGCACGACCACGUCGACGCCGCCGCAGAAGCCGCGCGCCGCACCGCCAGCUCGAGCCACCACCACGGAAGCCGCCGUCGCAGAGGCUCCAGAUCCGCCACCGCCUCCUACCGCCGACGGACGAGAGGAAGAGGAAGGGGAAGACCCCGCCGCCGCCGUCCGCCGCCCGGGCUUAGCCCGGCAGCCUCCUCCGGCGACGGCGAGGGGAGGGAGGGGGCGAGGGGGCGGCCCGGCGGCGCGGACGAGGGCUCCGCCCGAGUCGCCGUGUUAG